GGAUGUGAGGGCGAUCUGGCUGCGACAUCUGUCACCCACUGAUUGCCAGGGUUGAUUCGGCAGGUGUCCCCUUCCUCCCUCAGCGAUCCACGUGCAUCCCUCCUGAAGCUGCGCACUCGGUCGAAGAGGACAACCACCCCUGAUAGAGGAGGACUGUUCCUCGGUCAAGGGUAUACAAGUAGCUGUGCCCCCCUGCUAGAACCUCCAAACAGGCUCUCAAAACAUUUCCUCAAACUAGUUUCCACAGAGCUAGGAUGUCUGAUCUCAGAAACCCAAGUCUUUUGCUUCACUAUAUUUAAACUUUUAAGAACCACAAGAUUCUUU
rnacentral:snRNA from 1 species